rnacentral:rRNA from 1 species
UACGUUAAUAGCGUAUUCGUUUGACGUUAGCGACAGAAGAAAGCACCGGCUAACUCCGUGCCAGCAGCCGCGGUAAUACGGAGGGUGCGAGCGUUAAUCGGAAUUACUGGGCGUAAAGCGCAUGCAGGUGGUUUGUUAAGUCAGAUGUGAAAGCCCGGGGCUCAACCUCGGAAUAGCAUUUGAAACUAGGCAGACUAGAGUACUGUAGAGGGGGGUAGGAAUUUCAGGUGUAGCGGUGAAAUAGCGUAGAGAUCUGAAGGAAUACCGGUGGCGAAGGCGGCCCCCUCGGACAGAUACUGACACUCAGAUGCGAAAGCGUGGGGAGCAAACAGGAUUAGAUACCCUGGUAG